CAGUAUUUUCUGUUAUGUACUAGUAUAACAUGAUGGCUUGUCAACAGAAUAUAAAGAGGUAGUACUUGACUAUUUUUGGUAAAGUACACUCUAAAUGCCUUUAUUUGUUCCCAGACAAGGUGGAAGAGUACUGUGUGGAAUGCAAUAUGCUUCACUGUAAUGCUUCAGAGAACAUCAUUGACAUGAUACAGUGUGACUGCUGCUCAAGGUGGACACACAAAGAAUGUGCCACAGACAUGGGUGACAUGUUCAAAUGUAAAAAGUGUAACUUAAAUUAAACAGUUUUACCCCACCAGUGACGGUGUGGAUUAUUAAAAAUACAGAAGUAAAAUGUUCUACAUUAAAUAUAGUACAUCAUAUAACUGAUGUCAUUGGUAUUAAUCAGGAAGUCAUACAGUGGCUAAUAAAGUGUUAUUACAUUAGCAGCUUUAUGACGAUCUAACACCGUUUUAAUAAAGAUGAUUAAAUAUAAAAUAUGGUGAAAUUGCCGUUGUUCUGUCAGAUAAGCCAUACGCUGUCAGGAUAGCACACAUGCAGUCAGUACGCAUGCCCGCGCAUGCGCAUUAAGAAGUCCGACCGUCAGUGGAGUUGUCAGUUCAGCACACGCAACAAGUUAUGACGAAAAUAAGUCAUUAAAUUGUUUAUAAUAUGACAUAAUAUGAUAACUAGAUAAAUAUACAUGCGUUGUCAUGGUUUCAAAGUGUAUUUAAAGCAGGUCUGGCUGCAGCUGCAGUCAAUUACAACACAGGCCCGUGUAAAACUCAUUAACCUACUUAACCGCUAAGUCAGGAUGCCACAUAACUGUUAAUAACAAAGUGUAUGAUGAUCUACGUCAUGAUUCUAUGUUGCUGAUUAAAUAAAAUCAUAUGGUAAUGACAACGUAUACAUGUCUGAGCUAAGCGUAUGACUGACAACGUAUGCUGAUCUGACAGAUAUAGCCAUCAGUUUGUCAUACGCGUAUGACGAUCUGACAACGCAUGGCUAUCUGACAGAACACCGUCACUGUAUACAGAGGUGAAGACAGCCGUUUUGGAGUCGUUAGUCGGCCGAAAGAGUUGCUCUGACGUGUGAUGGCUGGACCUCGAGAGCGACCGACCCCUACUAACCAUCACUUCUCAUUCAUAUCGAACGAGUGGGAAUUGGUGUCAAAUGUGCUUCAGACCAGGCCCCUUCAUGGAAGUCAUACUUUGUUGUCAUGCCAAGCUAAAAGGUACCUUUGCAUCCCAGGCAGUAGUGUACCUGCUGAAAGGAUCUUUUCCACAGCAGGUGACAUAGUCACAGCCCAGAGAAGUGCAUUGAAGCCUGAGCAUGUGGAUCAGCUGCUUUUUCUGAACAAGAAUCUCCACGUGCCCACUUAGUCUGUAACCAGAAAUAAAGAACUGUACUGUUACAAUACAAUUCUUUAUUUCUGGCUACAGUACUAUAGUUCAGUUCAAGAUAUGUUCAAAAAUUAGAGGUUAAUCACUACAUGUUCAAAAGGUAAGAAUGUUUACAAGCACUAAACUUUUUCAGUGCAAUUCAGUUGAAUACAACCCUAUGAUUUGUGUUUAAAUCUGCACUAAUAUGCACAGAUGUUAUUGAAAUGCAUUUUUAUUUAUAUUAGACUUUCAAGAGAUAAGCUAUGCCUAAUUUUAUUUUACAUGCACUUUAUUUUUUAUUGUUUAUUAAGAACAGUUUUCUACUUUAAGCACAUUGCAGAAAGAAGUUUGUUUCUUUGCUCAGAAAUGUGAUGUUACAGAAGUUUGUAUGAAAAUAAAUAUUUUUAAAAUGUCAACAUUAUCUUAAAUCAUUUGUGUCUUCACAACUUUAAAUCAAUAUCGAAUCGAAUCGCAACAGCAAUAAUCGAAAUCGAAUCGAAUCGUGAGGUUCCUAACAAUACCCAGCCCUACUGAACUGGUUUUAAUUUUUCUUUUUUAGAUGAGUUGGAACUGACUGACACUGAAAGUGGACAAAGUGAGGUUGAAUGUGACCCAUCCCCACUUGUAAAUGAUACUCAAUGCUCUACAAAUCAAGAAUCUAAUGAAUCUUCUGGUGGUAUGACUAUCAAUCGUCAUGCCUGAUGUAAUAUUACAUGUUUUUAAAAUUAGACAUUCAGGUGUGUUCUGUUUACUUAUCCAAUUACAGAUGGUUUAGGAGAAGAGACAUCACAAGGGAGAACAUCCUCUAUGCCAUCUGCUGAGAAGCCUUCAGGCGCAGUAGAAGAUAUGACUACCUUAACAACCCUCCCCCCACCUCACGGAUGCAGAAAACCUCAAUCUCCUGUUGAAUUACCUGGGACCUCUUCUGGAAAGGGAACAGAGAUUAUUGCACCACCAACUGAAAAACCCUCAGAACCCCAAGAUGAUUAUCCUGAAAAGGACCAUCCUCAGAGAAAUCAAAAACGGCCCUGGUCUCCUACAGAAAUUGCAGCGGUGUUGAAACAUUUUCAGAAACACAUUGACACUGGGAAGCUGGCAAGUUUUGUUGAAAUUCAACGAGUCAACAGGCAGAACAUCCUGCUUUAAUAAAUCGCUCACUUCAGAACAUAAGAGACUUUGUUAGAAAUCGUGGUGUGUCCAAAAAGAAAAAGCUAAAAAUGUCAGAUAAAUCUUGAGUCAAGAUGUUCUAAACAAAACCUUAAGAACUUUCAAGCAUUCUUUUGUUUAAAAAAAUAAAAACCCAGAAAUUCAACUCUUAGGUGAGUAUAAACGGCUCAUUAUAUUAGAGAUUAUGUGCUGUUAAAAGUAACAUUUAAAGGAAAAGGUGUUUUGUUUUUAAGCUUCACCUUUUUUUGGUUUUGUUUGCUUGUUUAUUUUUGGAGUAGUUUUCUAUAAUGUGCUCUGAUUUUUAAGUUGGUCCAAGAUUGAUGUGUGAAUAGACUCAACAAAACUUGAAUUCUUAAUCAUUUUCAAAGUAAUUCAGAAGAUUGAUUUGCAGGUUGAUGAAAAAGGCAAAAAUUGUUCUAGUAAGUCUGUCUAGUAGCCUGUGUGUGUGUGUGUGUGUGUGUGUGUGUGUGUGUG